GACGUAGGAUGCAAGCGUUGUCCGGAUUUAUUGGGCGUAAAGAGUUCGUAGGCGGUUCGUUAAGUCUGAUGUUAAAGACUGGGGCUCAACCCCGGGAGUGCAUUGGAUACUGGCGGACUGGAGUGUGGUAGAGGCUAGUGGAAUUCCCAGUGUAGCGGUGAAAUGCGUAGAUAUUGGGAAGAACACCAGUGGCGUAGGCGACUAGCUGGGCCAUAACUGACGCUGAGGAACGAAAGCCAGGGGAGCGAAUGGG
rnacentral:rRNA from 2 species